UCAUGUAAUGCACAGGAAAUUAAAAAAAAAUAGAACCUUUCACCCCUAAAUCAAAAUUAGAGAAAUCCAAAGAGACAAAUCAACAACAUCUAUAAAAGCAAUCAAGUAUCAAUGUAGACAAACAUAUGACCUCCAUCAUUCUACCCCCUAGUAUCCAAACGAGACUCAAAAAUCCAACUAAAAUUCGUUCAUCAAAAGGAU
rnacentral:lncRNA from 1 species